AUACGUAGGAACCGAGCGUUGUCCGGAUUUACUGGGCGUAAAGAGUGCGUAGGCGGCUUGUUAAGUCUCAUGUGAAAUCUCCCGGCUCAACUGGGAGGGGCCAUGGGAUACUGGCUGGCUUGAGGGCAGUAGAGGAAAGCGGAAUUCCCGGAGUAGUGGUGAAAUGCGUAGAUACCGGGAGGAACACCAGUGGCGAAGGCGGCUUUCUGGACUGUACCUGACGCUGAGGCACGAAAGCGUGGGGAGCAAACCGGAUUAGAAACCCCUGUAGUCC
rnacentral:rRNA from 1 species